CCAGAAAAGUGCCACAAAAUUGUCACUUGUCUUUCAGAGCAUGGAUUUUAUGCCAGUUAGGGAUUAAGAGCUACUGCUUCUAUGUGUGGAUCCUAUAUCCACCCAUUUACAAUUAGUACCUUGAAGGUUUGCCCUUCCUACCCUGGCUGAUAUAUUUGCUUUAAAUUUUUCUUUACCCUCCUAUGAGAUUUUCUUUAGAUUUUGCUCCACUUUGGUUUUUUUAGACCCUGUUCCCUGUCCUUCUGGUUUUGCAUCUUCUACUUUUGGUACAGCUUAUAAGAGUUGCCUGUGUCGUCUUUCCAUACCCUGUUGCCUUGUUAGGCUUAGGCAGCCUGUCAGGCAUUAAUUUCCCCCACUGGAUUUCUAUUUCAGUAAGCAUUUUUUUUUGCCAUUAAGGGGCUCUCUGAUUUUGAUUUUUUAAAAAAAAUAUGCCUCUGGAUGCAUUGUAGUGUUUUCUCAUGAUGUAUUAAAGCAUGCAAAAUGUAUUAUCUGUAGUAAUUUUACAACUUUUACAAAGGUAAACUAAAACUCCGUUUCCAUAAAAAUAAAUUUUAAAGAAGUUGGAAGCAUUCUGC
rnacentral:lncRNA from 1 species